AACGAACGCUGGCGGCGUGCCUAACACAUGCAAGUCGAGCGGGAACGGCGCCUUCGGGUGCCUAGUACAGCGGCGCACGGGUGAGUAAUACGUAGGUGACCUACCUCUUGCUGGGGAACAACCCCGGGAAACCGAGGCUAAUUCCGCAUAAGCCCUCCGAAUCACGGUUCGGCGGGGAAAGGUGGCCGCUCCAUGGAAGAUAGCGGCAAGAGAUGGGGCUGCGUCCCAUCAGCUAGUUGGUAGGGGAACGGCCUACCAAGGCUACAACGGGUAGCUGGUCUGAGAGGAUGAGCAGCCACACUGGAACUGAGACACGGUCCAGACUCCUACGGGAGGCAGCAGUGGGGAAUAUUGCGCAAUGGGCGAAAGCUUGACGCAGCAACGCCGCGUGAGUGAUGAAGGCCUUCGGGUUGUAAAGUACUUUCAGCGGGGAGGAAGGCGGUGAGGUUAAUAACCUCGCCGAUUGACGUUACCCGCAGAAGAAGCACCGGCUAACUCCGUGCCAGCCGCCGCUGUAA
rnacentral:rRNA from 1 species